rnacentral:hammerhead_ribozyme from 1 species
CUUCAGCUGACAAGUUCUAAAUAGGACGAAACGUGCUUUCUGGAU